CUCUUCAGGGACACGUCACCCGUGUUACUGUUCCUGCAGCUGCUGCCGGGGUGAUGUCUGUGACGGCUUUUGCCCACUGCUGGCGUUUCCAUCUCCGCCAUCACUGCUGUCACGGGACAGCUACCACAGUCUCUACUGUCACCUAGCUGCCACACCUUCUGUCCUUGCCGUGGCUUCUUCACGGCGUGUUACCAGCUCAGCCCACUUGAUUCAUGAUGAAGAUCAAACUAGGCAAGAAGAAGAGUGCUCAGGAGAAGCCUCACUUGGCAGCGGCAGGCAGGAGGGUGACCAGGCCUCGAAGCAGCAGAGUGUUAGAAGAGAGCCGGCGCCAUGCCAUAGGCAGCAGCAUGGUGGGACCUUGAAGGGCAGCUGUCCAUGAUCAGGCCUUGAAAUGACAGAGGAUUAGAAGAAAGGGAACACCAUACCAAAGGCAGUGUGGUACAAGCCUUAAAGGGAAAGACUCCAAUUCUGAAGAACAAAGAAGUCUU